rnacentral:rRNA from 1 species
AACGUAGGUCACAAGCGUUGUCCGGAAUUACUGGGUGUAAAGGGAGCGCAGGCGGGAGAACAAGUUGGAAGUGAAAUCCAUGGGCUCAACCCAUGAACUGCUUUCAAAACUGUUUUUCUUGAGUAGUGCAGAGGUAGGCGGAAUUCCCGGUGUAGCGGUGGAAUGCGUAGAUAUCGGGAGGAACACCAGUGGCGAAGGCGGCCUACUGGGCACCAACUGACGCUGAGGCUCGAAAAUGUGGGUAGCAAACAGG